rnacentral:rRNA from 1 species
AGUGAACGCUGGCGGUAGGCCUAACACAUGCAAGUCGAACGGCAGCACAGUAAGAGCUUGCUCUUACGGGUGGCGAGUGGCGGACGGGUGAGGAAUACAUCGGAAUCUACUUUUUCGUGGGGGAUAACGUAGGGAAACUUAAGCUAAUACCGCAUACGACCUACGGGUGAAAGCAGUGGAUCUUCGGACCUUUCGCGAUUGAAUGAGCCGAUGUCGGAUUGGCUAGUUGGCGGGGUAAAGGCCCACCAAGUCGGCGAUCCGUAGCUGGUGUGAGAGGAUGGUCGGCCGCACUGGAACUGGGACACGGUCAAUAGUCCUGCGGUAGGCCGCAGAGGGGUAUGUUGGACAGUGGGCGCGAGCCUUGUCCAGCCAGACCGCGUGUGAGGAGGAGACCUUCGGGUUGUGAAGCCCUUUUGUGGGGAGUGAAAAGCUGCAGCUUAAGACGCAGCUGUUCUGACGGUAACGAGAGAAUAAGCACCGGCUAACUUCGUG